CGCCUAUCUAGAGGAUUUAGGAAAGGCUGCUGGUGUUUCCAGAUGCUACCAAGAGGGUCCUAGAGAGCACAGAACUUCUCCCACAGGCUCCCGUAGAUUUAAACCUCCGCCACCUGGGGCAGCUCCAGUCCUCAGAGCUUCUUCCAGACUUGCCUCUCUCCUGGGUCUGUGGAGUUUCCUGACAGCAUGGCCCCCAAACGCCAGUCUUCACUCCUGCCUCAAACGAAGAAACCGAGACUGCCUCCUGCCCCCACGUCGGAGGAGACCUCGAGAUCUCAGCGCUUGCCUAAGGGAG